CUCAACCUCAUUACGGCAUAUUAAUUUGAGAGGAACCAAAAUUCCCUCAGGCAUCAAACAAGCUUCUCAGCUGUCUUGCUUGUGCUUAAUCGAGUGCAUGAGCCUUGAAUCUUUACCAGAGCUCCCAUUGCUAAGUCAUCUUGAAGCAGAUGGGUGCAAGUCACUGAAGACAGUGUCAAGUUCAACAACAACAACAACAAUAACAAAGCCUUUUCCCACUAAGUGGGGUCGGCUAUAUGAAUCCUAGAACGCCAUUGCGCUCGGUUUUGUGUCAUGUCCUCCGUUAGAUCCAAGUACUCUAAGUCUUUUCUUAGAGUCUCUUCCAAAGUUUUCCUAGGUCUUCCUCUACCCAUUCGGCCCUGAACCUCUAUCCCGUAGUCACAUCUUCGAACCGGAGCGUCAGUAGGCCUUCUUUGCACAUGUCCAAAUCACCGAAACCGAUUUUAUCUCAUCUUUCCUUCAAUUUUGGCUACUCCUACUUUACCUCGGCUAUCCUCAUUCCCAAUCUUAUCCUUUCUCGUGUGCCCACACAUCCCACAAAGCAUCCUCAUCUCCACUACACCCAUUUUGUGUACGUGUUGAUGCUUCACCGCCCAACAUUCUGUGCCAUACAACAUCGCUGGCCUUAUUGCCGUCCUAUAAAAUUUUCCCUUGAGCUUCAGUGGCCUACGACGGUCACACAACACGCCGGAUGCAUUCUUACAUUUCAUCCAUCCAGCUUGUAUUCUAUGGUUGAGAUCUCCAUCUAAUUCUUCGUUCUCUUGUAAGAUAGAUCCUAGGUAGCGAAAACGGUCGCUUUUUGUGAUCUUCGCUAGAUUGCUCAAGUCAUUAGUGUGGAUAAGUAUAUAGAUGGAUAGAGAUAGGAAAGCAAACACAAGAUGUACGUGGUUCACCCAGAUUGGCUACGUCCACGGAAUAGAGGAGUUCUCAUUAAUUGUGAAGGGUUUACACAAGUACAUAGGUUCAAGCUCUCCUUUAGUGAGUACAAGUCAAUGAUUUAGUACAAAUGACAUUAGGAAAUAUUGUGGGAGAAUGAUCUCAUAAUCACGAAACUUCUAAGUAUCGGAGUGUGGUAUCGUCUUGACUUGCCUUAUCUGUCUCAUAGGUAGAUGUGGCAUCUUCUCUGGAAGUACUCUUCCUCCAUCCAGGGGUGGUAUCUUUAACUGGUGGAGAUGUACAAGGUAAUGUAUCAAUUUCACUUGAAGCUUACUUGUAGUUUCAGGCUUGGUCAAGCGCGAUACAAACCAUGUAGUAGGAGUCCCCAAGUCGCCGAGCUAGGGGAUCUGCUGAAAGAGGUGACAGACAAGGUAAGCAAUCAGAGCUUCGGCUGAUUGUUCACAUUCUCCCUAUCUUGCAGGCAGCAUGAAGGAUAAAGAGAAGAAAAAUGAGAAGAGAUGAUAUGGGAUACUUUUGCUUUUGAAGAAGUAACUUUCCACGGGCUUAUUCUUGAACUGAGCUGGAGGGUUUUCUGGUUUCCUCCAGAGUAUAAGGCCGACUGAAGAAUUUGAGGGUCAAAACAAGUCCUUCAAAUCUAGAGUACGUUCGACCCUGCUGAUAUGGGAUACUUUUUCUUUUGACAGAGUAGUGGAUGUAUCGGCACGUGUACUGUUACGCUUGUCUCCACAUGCUUCCUUGUAUCCUUCUCACUUGCCCUACCUGUUCCUCAGGCAGAUGCGGUAUCUUCCCUUGAAGCAUAAGAUGUUGAAGAUGAGUACUCGAGAGCAAUGCCAGGUAAGUAAUCAGGUAAGGGGUUCCAGGCAGUCAGUUUCUGGCUGGAAGCUUGAUUCCAAGUGCUGACUGAUUGCUCUCUUUCUCCUUGUCUUGCAGGUAAGAACAAGGCCAAAGUAAAAGACAGGGAAAAAGCAUGAUAUGGGAUACUCUUGCUUUUAACCCUGAUGAUAUGAGAUAUUCUUGCUCUAGUAUAGGUUGUUUGCAGAGGUAUUAUCGGGGGGAAAGAAAGCUGAAUAUUUCGAAAGGCUUCUUUGGGAGUGCCCUCUCAGAUAUGAGAAAGGGUUGAGCAUUUUUGCAGGUCUGCCUGUCCGUUGGGGAUGGAGGUCGACAUAUAUAGGAGUCUCCCUAACAACAAGUAAUAAUGCUAUUCCUUUACCCUGCUUGGUCAUAGCACGGUAGUGGGAGCUGUCAGCUUCACAUGUUUUAACUCUGUCAGAGCACUUUGAAAAAGUGGUCUGUGGUAUCUGGAAAGCUGAUGUUGCGUGUGAAGAUUACAGACAAGCUUUAUCCAAGGAGAUCCGGCUCUUGAAGUUGGGAAAGUGGUGCCUCUUCGGUUUUCGAACAAGCAAUCCUAUCGGGGAUCUGGCUCUCGAGAUUCGGAGAACGAUGCCUCUUCGAUUUUUGAGAAAGCAAUCAUGCUGGGGGUCUGGCUCUCGAGAUUCGGAGAGCGGUGUCUCUUCGAUUUUUGAGAAAGUAAUCAUGUUAGGAGUCUGGCUCUCGAGAUUCGGAGGGCGGUGCCUCUUCGAUUUUGGAGCAAGCAAUCUUGUUGGGAGUGUUUUCUCGAAUGUGAGUAAAGGUUGGGCAUGUUUGCUAGUCUACCUUGCCACGAAGCACAGAUGUUGACACACAGGGACUUUCCAAUUAUCCAGUAAUGGUACUGUUCCUUUACCCUCUCUUUAAUUUUUGAGAAAGUAGUCAUGUUGGGAGUCUGGCUCUCGAAAUUCGAAGGACGGUGCCUCUUCGAUUUUGGAGCAAGCAAUCUUGUUGGGAGUGUUUUCUCGAAUGUGAGUAAAGGUUGGGCAUGUUGCUAGUCUACUUUGCCACGAAGCACAGAGGUUGACACACAUGGACUUUCCAAUUAUCCAACAGUGGUACUGUUCCUUUACCCUUAUGGGUAAUAAUAUGGUAGCUAGACCUUCAAAAUUUAUGUGUCUAAACUUUGUUAGUACUGUUUCUUUGCUAUUCUUUUACCCUUCUUAGUCAGAGCGAUGCAGUGGGAGCUGCAAGCUUCACUUGUCUCAACUUUGGCAGAGAACUUUGGCAAAGUUAUCUGUGGUACCCAUGAGCUACUGUUGCGUGUGAGAAGUGGGUGAUUGAACAGUAAGAUUCAUGUGCUUUCUACUUCACCAGAAGUCUUCGACAGAAUGCUCAUAAUUUCCGCAAAGCUGAGUGUGCGUGUGACAAGUGCUGACAAGGCUAGAAAAGUAGGUGCCUCUUCGAUUUCUGAGAUCAGCCCUCGUGGUCUCUGAGCAGCCCAACUUUUGAGAAAGUAAGCGCCUCUUCGAUUUCUAAGAUUGGCCUUCGUGGUCUUUGAGCAACCCAGCUUUUGAGAAAGCAAACGCCUCUUCGAUUUCUGAGAUCGACCCUCGUGGUCUCUGAGCAGCCCAGCUUUUGAGAAAGUAAACGCCUCUUCGAUUUCUGAGCAGGCGCCUCUUCGAUUUCUGAAACUCCGUCGAGUGCAGAUUUUUAUAGGGGCUGGCAUUAAGUUCCAAAGCACACUUGAAUCUCCACCAGUAGAAGCUCCAUUCUUGCACUUCUAAGAUCUUGAUUUGUCCGACCUCUUAUCUCUUCAACACCUUUGAAAAUGUCUGGCCCCUCCGACCGUCGUUUUGACUUGAACCUUGUUGGAGAGGCAGCCUCGCCUUCUCCAGACAACAUAUGGCGCCCAUCCUUCGUCUCCCCUUCUGGUCCUCUUACCGCUGAGGAUUCCGUGAUGAAGAAUGAUAUGACCGCUGCGGUGGUGGCCAGGAACCUUCUCACUCCCAAAUAUAACAGACUACUUUCCAAACGGUCUGAUGAGUUAGCUUUUAAGGAUUCUCUGGCUCUCAGUGUUCAGUGUGCAGGUUCUGUGUCUAAUAUGGCCCAACGCCUAUUUGCUCGAACCCGCCAAGUUGAAUCUUUGGCGGAUGAAGUAAUGAGUCUCAAACAGGAGAUUAGAGGGCUCAAGCAUGAGAAUAAACAGUUGCACCGGCUCGCACAUGACUAUGCUACAAACAUGAAGAGGAAGCUUGACCAAAUGAAAGAAUAUGAUGGUCAGGUUUUACUUGAUCAUCAGAGAUUUGUGGGUUUGUUCCAAAGGCAUUUAUUGCCUUCGUCUUCUGGGGCUGUACCGCGUAAUGAAGCUCCAAAUGAUCAACCUCUGAUGCCUUAUCCUUCUAGGGUUCUGUCUAGUACUGAGGCUCCGAAUGAUCCCCCUCCGGUGCCUUCUAUUUCUGGGGCUCUACCGACUGCUAAGACUUCUCCUAAGCAACCUUUGUGAAGGCUCCCUCUUGUUUGUUUAUUUUGACUCAUGUAUAUGUACAUAUUUGUAACUUAUCGGGGAUAUCAAUAAAUAAGCUUUCCUUCAUUUCAACGUAUUGUGUUAAAUACACCAAAGCCUUCUUCGCUAAGUUCUUUGAAUUUUCUUUUGUUGAAGCUUGUAUGUUGGAGCUUUGUGAGUGGAGCAUGUAGGUUGACGUAGUGUUCCCUUAAUUUCCCGAGUGAGGAAAACUUCUCGGUUGGAGACUUGGAAAAUCCAAGUCACUGAGUGGGAUCGACUAUAUGAAUCUUAGAACGCCAUUGUUCUCGGUCCUGUGUCAUGUCCUUCGUUAGAUCCAAGUACUCUAAGACUUUUCCUAGAUCUUCCUCUACCCCUUCGGCCCUGAACCUCUGUCCCAUAGUCGUAUCUUCUAAUCGGAGCGUCAGUAGGCCUUCUUUGCACAUGUCCAAACCACCGUAACCGAUUUUCUCUCAUCUUUCCUUCAAUUUCGGCUACUCCUACUUUACCCCGAAUAUCCUCAUUCCUAAUCUUAUCCUUUCUCGUGUGCCCACACAUCCAACGAAGCAUCCUCAUCUCCGCUACACCCAUUUUGUGUAUGUGAGGAUGCUUCACCGCCCAACAUUCGGUGCCAUACAGCAUCGCCGGCCUUUUUGCCGUCCUAUAAAAUUUUCCCUUGAGCUUCAGUGGCAU
rnacentral:lncRNA from 1 species